CACAACACCCCAUCAAUGAUGAAUACAUGUACCAUAUAGCUUUAGGAAGAGCCGGAAAAGGUAUGGCUAGCAUCGACAUAUGUUACGCCGUCGCUGCUUAUAAAUAGGUCUCUGAGAUACCUACUGUU
rnacentral:snoRNA from 1 species